rfam:Oryza sativa Japonica Group DNA, chromosome 10, cultivar: Nipponbare, complete sequence.
AAUAAGUGUAGUUUUAACACUGUUCAUGCUCAACGUUUGUCCGUUCGUCUUAUUUGAAAAAUAAUUAUGAUUAGUAAUUUUAUUGUUAUUAGAUGAUAAUAGAUGAAUAGUAUUUUAUGUGUGACUAAUAUUUUUAAUUUUUUUCAUAAAAUUUUUAAAUAUGAUAGACGAUCAAAACGCUGGACUCGAAUAUCUAUAGCUGCACUUAUU